AAACUGCGAUACGUAGUGUGAAUUGCAGAAUUAAGUGAAUCAUCGAAUCUUUGAACGCAAAUUGCGCUGUUGGGCAUUCCUAACAGCAUGCUUGGCUGAGUAUCAUCUGGUCAAAUCCCAAAGUUUUUUCUUUGGUGGAAUUGAGGUGUCACAUUGGCAACAAUGCGUCCCUUUAAAUGCAGACGGUGAAGGAUGUUGGCGUUCUUGUACCACUAGUGUGUCAAUUGUCCUCUGGACAUCGUUGCACUAUGUCGGUGCUUGGACAUAAAACUGACGUUUGGAGCCUAUUAUCAACUCUUUUAACGAAACUUUGAUCUCAGCUCAAGCAAGACUACCCGCUGAAUUUAA
rnacentral:misc_RNA from 1 species